rnacentral:sRNA from 1 species
AGUUAGGAACUGCUUCUAGAGAGGGCAGCCAAGUCCCGCGAGCGCCCGCCUCUCCGCCAGCUGGCGCGCUGGGAGCCCGGGACGCGGCCCUGCUUGCAUCCUGGAAACUAUGGGUCUGGGUUUGGCUGCAUGUGCCUGGGAAGAAAGGGUCUGAGCCUGACUCGGCCCAGAAGCCCCUUCAAGCUUGGAAGAGACAGGGCAGCCUCGGGCGUUGUAGCCCGGACUGCUGUCUUUCCCGGAGCCAAGCUCUGCAGCAACUGCAUUCUCCAGGCCUUCGGGGUUGUUUGCCCUCCAGGCAGAGCCCAGGCUCCCUCCCAGCCACUACCUUUUCCGACCCCGAGCGGUCUUGGCGGUGUUUCGGUACCAAAUGCGCAGGCUGCGCGCAGGGCAUCUCCCCUAGCGACCUGGUGCGGAGAGCGCGGAGCAAAGUGUUUCACCUGAACUGCUUCACCUGCAUGAUGUGUAACAAGCAGCUCUCCACUGGCGAGGAACUCUACAUCAUCGACGAGAAUAAGUUCGUCUGCAAAGAGGAUUACCUAAGUAACAGCAGUGUUGCCAAAGAGAACAGCCUUCACUCGGCCACCACGGGCAGUGACCCCAGUUUGUCUCCGGAUUCCCAAGACCCGUCGCAGGACGACGCCAAGGACUCGGAGAGCGCCAACGUGUCGGACAAGGAAGGGGGUAGCAACGAGAAUGACGACCAGAACCUGGGCGCCAAGCGGCGGGGACCGCGCACCACCAUCAAAGCCAAGCAGCUGGAGACGCUGAAGGCCGCCUUCGCUGCUACACCCAAGCCCACCCGCCACAUCCGCGAGCAGCUGGCGCAGGAGACCGGCCUCAACAUGCGCGUCAUUCAGGUCAGGCCCCGGCGCGCCUCUCCAUCCCAUAGAGGCCCACACUGCCACUUUGGGCACCCAGGCCGAGCCGGGAGAGCCCAGAAUCCAGAGAGAAGUGAGAGAUGGAGUCCAGAGGUGGGGUGCCUAGACACACCCCGAGCCUGCGGGACCUAUGAAAUGCCUGAUGCCUUCGAGCAUCUAGAAAGUCCUCUUCCCAGCCCAACAGAGGUGAUCGUGGCAGUGGAGGGGGAGGGACGGGAGUUCAGCCAGAGGCUGGAGGAGGAGAACUGUUGAACACUCUGGAGAGAGUGGGGAGCCCUCUUUCUGCACAUACCCCACCCCACCUCGGGUUCGGAAGGGUCAGAGAAGUCUCAGUGUCCCCCAGAGUCAAUCAGUCCCUCUGCCUUCUGCACAAAGUGAACUCUUCCUAAGUCUGCAACUCCAACUUUGUGAUCGCUUGCUCCAAUUAGACAAGCCCCAGAUCAGGGACUUCCCCUCCAAAGAGAGGUGGUUCCGCCGGGAGUCAGC